GGAUGAAGAACGUAGCGAAAUGCGAUAAGUAAUGUGAAUUGCAGAAUUCAGUGAAUCAUCGAAUCUUUGAACGCACCUUGCACCCUUUGGCAUUCCGAAGGGUAUGCUCGUUUGAGUGUCAUUGUACUCUCACACUUCUGAUCCUUUGGAUUGGGAGCGGUGGACUUGGGUGUUGCUGCUUUACUGUGGCUCACCUCAAAUGCAUUCGUGCAACUCUUGGUUGGACAUAGUACGGCGUGAUAAGUAUCUUCGCCGGCACCUCGCAAGAGGGUGGCUGAUCAGGAGCUCUGUGCUUUCCAACUGUCUUCAGACAACAACUGACAACUUGACCUCAAAUCGAGUAGGACCACCCGCUGAACUUAAGCAUAUCAAUAAGCGGAGGA
rnacentral:misc_RNA from 1 species